GAUGAAGAACGUAGUGAAAUGCGAUAAGUAAUGUGAAUUGCAGAAUUCAGUGAACCAUCGAAUCUUUGAACGCACAUUGCGCCCGGCAGUAAUCUGCCGGGCAUGCCUGUCCGAGCGUCAUUUCUCCCCUCGAGCGCAGCUUUCCCCCCCGGGGGAGGGCCGCGCCCGGUGUUGGGGCGCUACGGAGGAGCCCAGCGCUCCCCCGUAGGCCCCGAAAUGUAGUGGCGGCCCCGCCGCGGCGCCCCCUGCGUAGUAGUUAUACAACUCGCAUCGGGUCCCGGCGGAGGCCAGCCGUCAAACCCCCCAACUUCAAUAGUUUGACCUCGGAUCAGGUAGGGUUACCCGCUGAACUUAAGCAUAUCAAUAAGCGGAGGA
rnacentral:misc_RNA from 1 species